rnacentral:rRNA from 1 species
UACGGGGGAUCCGAGCGUUAUCCGGAUUUAUUGGGUUUAAAGGGAGCGUAGGCGGACUGAUAAGUCAGCUGUGAAAGUUUACGGCUCAACCGGGUAAUUGCAGUUGAUACUGUUGGUCUUGAGUAUACAUGAGGUGGGCGGAAUUUGUUGUGUAGCGGUGAAAUGCUUAGAUAUCACAAAGAACUCCAAUGGCGAAGGCAGCUCACUGGAGUAUAACUGACACUGAUGCUCGAAGGUGUGGGUAUCAAACAGG